GUGAGAGGUUAGUAUGUUUUGUUGUAGCCUCUGUUAUUGGUAAUGGUGAGAGGUUAGCAUGUUUUGUUGUAGCCUCUGUUAUUGGUAAUGGUGAGAGGUUAGUAUGUUUUGUUGUAGCCUCUGUUAUUGGUAAUGGUGAGAGGUUAGUAUGUUUUGUUGUAGCCUCUGUUAUUGGUAAUGGUGAGAGGUUAGUAUGUUUUGUUGUAGCCUCUGUUAUUGGUAAUGGUGAGAGGUUAGUAUGUUUUGUUGUAGCCUCUGUUAUUGGUAAUGGUGAGAGGUUAGUAUGUUUUGUUGUAGCCUCUGUUAUUGGUAAUGGUGAGAGGUUAGUAUGUUUUGUUGUAGCCUCUGUUAUUGGUAAUGGUGAGAGGUUAGUAUGUUUUGUUGUAGCCUCUGUUAUUGGUAAUGGUGAGAGGUUAGUAUGUUUUGUUGUAGCCUCUGUUAUUGGUAAUGGUGAGAGGUUAGUAUGUUUUGUUGUAGCCUCUGUUAUUUGUAAUGAUGAGAGGUUAGCAUGUUUUGUUGUAGCCUCUGUUAUUGUUAGAUUUCUUGUUAGAUAUUAUUGCACGGUCGGAGCUAGAAGCACAAGCAUUUCGCUACAC